UUGGCUACAAUUCCUGUCUUCAGGUUUUGCCAACCUACAUCUGCUGGUCAUUCCCACAUCUAAACAGAGCAGCGCAUAGAUAUGUCACCCACCAACUUAUACCACCAACAACCACCACCCAGCCCCAAAUCCAGUUCCGGAGACAUCCACAUCCCGUUACUACCAUCGCUCACCACCGCUCUGCUUCGAAUCAACGUCACCUGCUAACAUCGAUCAACACCGCUCUACCCCAAAUCGAAAGGUCGCUGCUUUAUCUACUCUGUCAACCACAAACUAAGUGACGGUUUUUGUUAGACGAUUAGGGCUCCAACAGGUCAAAGAAAGAAAAGGACAUAAAAAAGUUGUUGUUCAUAAGCUUUAUGAUGCCUGUAGGGAGGUCAAAGGCGUUUGUUAAUUGUUGCUCAUCAGUUGUUUGAGAUGCUGAGGGUAUUCAACACCUGAAAGAUAUUUUAAAUAAGCCGGGUUUCAAAGAGGUGGUGGAGGGGGUGCUUGGAUCUCCUGUUAUGGAGGGCCCUCCCGAUGUUGUUUUGAUGAAGAAAUUGGGAAAGCUAGCAACGUUAUUCAAGGAAAUUUUCAGAUUUUUCAGAGACAAGUUCAUUGAAGGAUGUAAAGAGUGACCUCGGUUGAACUGUGUGGGCAUCAACCAAAUUUCGGACUCCGAAGCGACGGAUUUGGAAGCUGCUUUUUCGCGUCAAGAGAUUAUAGGAGCCGUUUUCGAGUGUGGUGAUGACCGGGCCCCAGGCCCUGACGGUAUUAAUUUUUGCUUUGUUAAAGAAUUUUGGAUUUAUUAGAAGAUUAUUUCUAUAGAAUUAUGAGUGUUUUUUAUGAGUCUGGUUUGGUUAGAAUGGGCUGUGGUUCUUCAUUUAUUGCGCUUAUUCCAAAAGUUAAGGAUCCGCAAAGCUUGAAAGAAUACCGACCUAUUAGUUUGGUUGGAAUUAUCAAUAAAGUUAUUUCAAAGAUUUUGGCCAAUAGGCUUAAAAGGGUGCUGGAUACAGUCAUAUCGUCGUCUCAGUCUGCGUUUCUUUGGGGUAGAUAUAUUUUGGAUGGGCCGCUUGUAAUUAACGAAAUUUAAAAUUGGGUUAGAAGAAGCAACAAAAAGGUUUUUAUGCUAAAGAUCGAUUUUGAAAAAAGCCUACGACAAUAUAAACUGGAACUUCGUGAUCGAUAUCCUCACUCAGAUGGGUUUCCCUAAUAGAUGGUGUAUGUGGGUUAAAGGUAUUAUUUCUUCGGCUAGGGCGCCAGUUUUAGUUAACGGGGCUCCAACUUUUGAAUUUAAGUGCGAAAAAGGUAUGCGUCAAGGGGACCCUAUCUCCCCAUUCCUCUUCGUUAUUGUG
rnacentral:lncRNA from 1 species